rnacentral:lncRNA from 1 species
AGUCUUGUUGCACUGUCGCCCAGGCUGGAGUGAGGUGGAGCAAUCUCGGCUCACUGAAACUUCCGCCUCCCAGGUUCAAGCGAUUCUCCUGCCUUAGUUUCCCAAGUAGCUGGGAUUAUAGGUGCCCACCACUAUGCCCAGCUAAUUUUUUAUUUUUAUUUUUAGUAGAGACGGGGUUUCAGCAAGUAGGCCAGGAUGGUCUUGAACUUCUGACUUCGUGAUUCACCCGCCUUGGCCUCCCAAAGUGCUGGGAUUACAGGCAUAAGGCACUGUGCCUGGACAGCAGGGUACCUUCUACUGGAUCAGAACAUACAGGGACAAAACAGCCACCUCGUCUGGAAAAGUAGGAAUACUGCGCCAUUUUGGAAAACAAAGAUAAUUCAACCACUGCCAUUAGAACAAGCAGGUUUUGUGGAUUGAAGAGUACAGAUGUGUGCAGCAACAGUUUUGUCAGGCGCAGCAGUUAUAAGUCAUGUUCUGGCUUUGCAUCCUAGAAUUGAUAUCAAGUUUUCAUACAUAUUUGUUCCAUAUGAGACUUCCAAAAAAAUUCAGGAGUGCCAGUUCCAAGGGAGAUGAAGGAGUCCUGUGGGUGAUCAUGUUGACAGGAGGACUAACAAAAAUAUGUGAAAAGAAUCUUGGAUUUUCAGCUGGGAAACCUAGAAGAGAUCAUAGCCAGAGACUAUGCAUCACAUGCUGCCUUUGA